GCCAGGGUUGAGGGUUCGUUUCCCACGGGGGGCCAGUAUGAAAAUACGGAAAGGGCUGGCUCUCACUUCUAGACAUGUCUGAUGCUAGGGCAUCAGUGCUGGACAAGAAGAUGCCUUUCAGGCUGCUGAGGACCAUUGGUGUCCUGUAUGUCCCUGCAUCAACAGAGGAGAGAAGGAAGACGGUCCACCCACCAAUCAUUCCAUCCCCAGGCUCCUACCCAGUCCAUGCCCACGCUCCAGUUUCCUCCAAUCUACAGGCUACCGAGACCACACCAAAGACAUUUGAAGGCUGGGCCAACUCAUACUAUACACAGGGGAGCUCUGUUCAGCUCUCAGGUUAUUAUGGUCACAACCAUGGAUAUGUCCUCAAGCAUAGCUUUGGGCCAAGUCAUGGACAUAGUCACUAACACAGCUCCGGCCAUGGACACAGUCAUGGGCACACAUAUGCCUCUCAAACCACUAGUCACUGGGAUCCAGUGGCUCAACAUCUACAUUCUCAACAUUCCCACCUCAGUCCACUGUCUGUGUCUGUCAGUGCCCCCCAGAGUUUCACAGCAAACAUGCCAGAGUCACUGCCAGGAUCUGUGAUGGUUCACCCAGGGGCACCUGUGUCUUCACUGACCGUUUGAUGACAUAGAAAACACAUUGAAUGACAGAGCUAUCUCAUAUGUUAUACGUUGAGAUAUAAUAUGCUUGGACAUGGGGUUUGAGGCAGUACUUAAAGGUACACGGUUUCUUCACUGAUGAUUUUGGUUUCAAGAAACAAGCAGGCUCAAAAUGUUCAAGGUCAAAUCAAUACAAGAAGGUUUUGAUUGUCAGUUGAUUGUAAGACCACUCCUUUUGGCUUGUACUUUGCGUUUUUCUACACAUACUGUAGACAAAUCUCUUGGCACUCUUGAUAUAUCAGGCAUUUUAUAUUACACUUUCACUGAUUUAUUCAGUUUUCCUUUACUUAACUACUUACAGCAAUUAAAUAGCAUCCCCUCACCAGUAAAUUAGAUCCAUUACAUGCAGUUUGUUUGGCAAUCAACAUUAUUGUAAAUUGAGGAGCAGGGAGCAGUGGGUGAGGUUAUCAAGAGUGUGGGCUAUAAGGGCAGAUUAUGAUGUAAUCUUUAGAAAAUGAGGCAGUUGUGCACAGUAAAGAGAAGCCAUAAAUGACAACCAAUACUAAAUAUAGCAAAUCAAUGAUUAUUAUUUCUUUACAAAUGCAUGCUUUCAAGUUAUACUGUUUAUAUACAAAUAGCUAUUUUGCAUAUACAACUGGAUCAAGUGGUAAGAGUCAUGUAACAGGUCAUGAUGGAACACGUUAUUCGAUAUCAGUAAUGCAAGAGAAAAAGUUAAAAGGCACACAAUUCUUCAAUGAAAACAUGAACCCUGCCAUAUCACUACAAUAGUUUAGGGGUUUCUCUAUUAAAAGAAACACCAAAAGGACAGCUGAACAUCACCCUUAUAUCAUCCACUUCAUUUCAUACAGUUAAUGUUCAACAGAACCUCAGAAAAUUGAAGUAAAUAUUCUGUAUUAGACCUUCAACCAUCAGCAUAGAAAGAUAAAACCUACAUAAAAUGCUUACUGGGUGUACAAAACAUUAGGAACGCCUGCUCUUUCCAUGACAUAGCUUUCACCUGGAUUUACCUGGUCUGUCUAUGA